GAUGAACGCUGGCGGCGUGCCUAAUACAUGCAAGUCGAGCGAACGGACGAGAAGCUUGCUUCUCUGAUGUUAGCGGCGGACGGGUGAGUAACACGUGGAUAACCUACCUAUAAUACUGGUAUAACUUCGGGAAACCGGAGCUAAUACCGGAUAAUAUUUUGAACCGCAUGGUUCAAAAGUGAAAGACGGUCUUGCUGUCACUUAUAGAUGGAUCCGCGCUGCAUUAGCUAGUUGGUAAGGUAACAGCUUACCACGGCAACGAUGCAUAGCCGACGGGAGGGGCGGAUCGGCGACAUUGGAACUGAGACACGGUCAAGACUCCUACGGGAGGCAGCAGUAGGGAAUCUUCCGCAAUGGGCGAGAGCCUGACGGAGCAAGGCCGCGUGAGUGAUGAAGGUCUUCGGAGCGUAAAACUCGGUUAUUAGGGAAAAACAGAUGUGUAAGUAAAUGUGCACAGCUUGACGGUAACUAAUCAGAAAGCAACGGCUAACUACGUG
rnacentral:rRNA from 1 species